rnacentral:rRNA from 1 species
GUCUUUUUGAUUAUAAUUUAAAGUCUAACCUGCCCAAUGAAUAUUUAAAUGGCCGCAGUAUUUUGACUGUGCAAAGGUAGCAUAAUCAUUAGUUUUUUAAUUAAAAGCUGGAAUGAAUGGUUGGACGAGAAAAUUACUGUCUCAAUUUAAUUUAAUUAUAAUUUUAUUUUUAAGUUAAAAAGCUUAAAUGAAUUUAAAAGACGAGAAGACCCUAUAGAGUUUAAUAUUUUAAUUAAUUUAUUUUAUUUUAUAAAUUUUUUAAUUUUUUAAAAUAUUUUAUUGGGGUGAUAAAUAAAUUUAAUAAACUUUAUUUUUUUUUUACAUAAAUUUAUGAAUUUUUGAUCCAUUAUUUAUGAUUAUAAGAUUAAAUUACCUUAGGGAUAACAGCGUAAUUUUUUUAGAGAGUUCAAAUCGAAAAAAAAGAUUGCGACCUCGAUGUUGGAUUAAAGUUAAUUUUUGGUGUAGAAGCUAAAAUAUUGAGUCUGUUCGACUUUUAAAACUUUACAUGAUCUGAGUUUAAACCGGUGUGAGCCAGGUUGGUUUCUAUCUUUAAAUAAAUAAAAUAUUUUAGUACGAAAGGACCAAAUAUUUAUAAUAAUUAUUUUAUUUUGAAUAU